UGGCCUGAACACAGUCCGGAGCUCUCUUCAGAGUGGAAACCUGCGGGGAAGUUCAGGCUUCGGAGAGACUCUGUGCAGAUCUCAGGUGAUGGGACGGUGAAGAAGAGCGGGAAGCAG